rnacentral:rRNA from 1 species
AUCAACUUUCGAUGGUAGGAUAGAGGCCUACCAUGGUGGUAACGGGUAACGGGGUGUUAGGGCACGACACCGGAGAGGGAGCCUGAGAAACGGCUACCACACCCAAGGAUGGCAGCAGGCGCGCAAAUUACCCAAUCCCGACACGGGGAGGUAGUGACAAUAAAUAACAAUACGGGGUUCUUUAGGAUCUCGUAAUUGGAAUGAGUACAACUUAAAUCUCUUAACGAGGAACAAUUGGAGGGCAAGUCUGGUGCCAGCAGCCGCGGUAAUUCCAGCUCCAAUAGCGUAUAUUAAAGUUGUUGCAGUUAAAAAGCUCGUAGUUGAAUUUCGGGGUUAGUAGGUUGGUCAUGCCUCUGGUAUGUACUGGUCUCACUGAUUCCUCCUUCCUGAUGAACCUUAAUGCCAUUAAUUUGGUGUUUUGGGGAAUUUGGACUGUUACUUUGAAAAAAUUAGAGUGUUUAAAGCAAGCUAACGCUUGAAUACAUUAGCAUGGAAUAAUGAAAUAGGACGUUCGAUCCUAUUUUGUUGGUUUCUAGGAUUGACGUAAUGAUUAAUAGGGAUAGUUGGGGGCAUUAGUAUUCAAUUGUCAGAGGUGAAAUUCUUGGAUUUAUUGAAGACUAACUACUGCGAAAGCAUUUGCCAAGGAUGUUUUCAUUAAUCAAGAACGAAAGUUAGGGGAUCGAAGACGAUCAGAUACCGUCGUAGUCUUAACCAUAAACUAUGCCGACUAGGGAUCGGAUGAUGUUAAUUUUUUAAUGACUCAUUCGGCGCCUUACGGGAAACCAAAGUGUUUGGGUUC